rfam:Astyanax mexicanus chromosome 21, whole genome shotgun sequence.
GCGACUCACUAUUGUAAGUCGCUUUGGACAAAAGCGUCUGCCAAAUGUUAUUUA